rnacentral:lncRNA from 1 species
CUGGAGACUGGGCCUCACAUCCAGCCCAGGUCUGGGCAGAGGCAGGCACUCGGGGACCCUGGAGAGUGGCUGGAUGGAUAAAUAAAUCGUCUGUUCCACCUGGACACUCCUCGGCAUCCUUCAAGGCCCAGUUCACAUGACCCCUCCUUGCCUUAGCCUCUCGGAUCCCGUCAGUAAGCGGCUCCCUCUCUGGGCCCUUCCACAGUGGGGCCUGUAAAGUGAAUCUCAGAGGCCCUGGCCUUUCUAAAGGCAGCAGGUGCUGAGGGCAGAGCAAGACAUCACAGCCGUGAGGAUGACUAAUUCUUACACAGGGCUUACUACAUGCCAGAAACGUCCCAAGUGCCUUAUGGGUGUCUGCGAUGGUCAUGAAGACUAUUACUGUCUCUGUUUUAUAUGCAGGGAAACCGCAGCUCAGAGAGGUUAAAUGACUUGUCCCAGGUCACACAGCAAAUAAGUAGGGGAGGUGGGAAGUGAACCCAGACCGUUUGCCUCCAGGAAAACUAUGGGGCUUAUGAUACGGAAUAGAUUGUUCAGCCUUUCUCCAGGGCAGUGUAAAGGGCCGACGAGUCUCUUUCUUUUCUGCAUUUCUUGCCCUGCCAUUGGGCCCCAUCCUGAGCCUCCUCACUGGGCAGCUGCUCCCUAAGUGCUAUGAGACCUCAGGGAUGAAGACCUCAGGCUCCUCUCCAUUGCCUCCAGCCCAGCCCCAGGCUCUGUAGCCCCCGGUUCUCCUGUCCUCAUUGGCGCUGAGUGUCACCGCCCCCUGGGGCUGCAGCCAGAACCCCAGUCACGUCCUCCUCCUGCUCCUGCCCCCCCCCACUCCUGUGGACUCUCCCGCCAUGGGGGGGCAACCCCAGCUCCUCCUCCACCCUCACCCUCCACUCUUGCUCAGACACCUGUAACCUUCCAAAGUCUGUAAACUGUAAACGAAGCUGGUGACAACAUGCUCCUCGUGGGGAGUCUCAGGAUUAGUCCAAUCUUGAAAAGCUGUUGGGCUGGGCCGUUAUUAGAGAUUAAAUGGGAAGCGUUAUUAGGGACUUGUUGAAGGGAUGAAUGGUGGCCGGUGGGGGGCCUCCUCCUCCUCUCCUCUCUGCUUCCCUCCCACCCACUCCUGUCUGCAGGACGAGCCUUCUGGAUGUUCUGAAGGAUGGCCACACUGGGAGAAAGUCUUGGAUCUUCGCGGCGAGGGUGCAGAUCUCUCCCAUCUUGGAGGAAGUUUCCUCCUGACUCUGUUUCCCUUCCAGCUACGCAGAAAAGCCUGGGAGACUUGCCCUUCCCUUGCAGCACCAUUUCUCCCUCCACCUGCGUCCUCUACGCACACUCCCUACCCGUCAAGGCUCGCAGACCUCCGUGGUGCACACUGGAAGGAGUUUUUUUUUUCCUUUUUUUGCAGUACUGGGGGUUGAACCCAGGGGUGCUCUCCCACGGAGCUACAUCCCCAGUCCUCCUUUUAUUUUUUUAUUUUGAGACCGGGUCCCACUAAGUUGCCAGGCUGGGCCUUGAACCUGGGAUCCUCCUGCCUCAGUCUCCGAGUCGCUAGGACCAUGGGCGUGCACCAUUGGACCAGCUAAUGGAUGCUUCACUCUGCGGUCCUCGUCUUAUGUGGACAUUCUGAAGCGUUUCGGUGUUCUCGGUUCCCAGGGUAGCCUCUUCAUGUCUCCCCAUGUCUUUCCAUCACGGCCGAAAGGAAAGCUGAAGAAUCUCUCCCAGGUGUUGUCGAGAGAGUCGGAGGCUCAGUCUGCCUGUCCUUUCUGUCUAUCUCUGCCUUUUCUUUCUUGGGACUCUUGAUUGACCAGUCCUGUGACUUGAAACCCAGCAAGUUUUGCAUGGGUGGCUUCCAGCUAGGCCUGACCCCCAGACUUUGUGUCCAACUGUCCUCUGGACAUUUGCACGUGGACGUGAAGGAGUGUUUACAUCAGCCUUUCACCACUGUGAACGGAAGAUCAGACAAGAACAAUUUUACAGGAGGAAAAUUUUAUUUGGGGCUCAUGGUUUCAGAGGUCUCGGUCCCUAGACAUCUGACUCCAUCGCUCUGGGCCCAGGACAUCAUGGCGGAAGGCUUGGUGGACGAAACCAGCUCAGAACAUGCCGAUCAGGAAGAAGAAGAGAGAGAGACAAAAAGAGACAGGGAGCUCUGCCCACCAGGGACAAAAUGUAAACCCCAAAGGCACAUCUCCCGUGACCUCUUUCCUCCGGUCAUGCCCUACCUGCCCCCAGUCAGUGCCCAGUUCAUCUGUAUCAGUUGACUAAUCCAUUUACCAGGUUAAGCCUCUCAUUCUGGCAUUGUCUAAUGCAUAAGCUUAUGGGGGACCUAGCAAUGGGCCGUUCAAAUUUAACAUGCUCCAGAUGAGCCCUUGACUUCCAUCCUCCGAGCCUGACCAUGCCCCCUGCCCCCAACUUCCCUCACACAGUGCCUGGCACACCUGCCACCCAGCAGAAGGCAGGGCCCAUCCCUCCUUCCCAGGACCCUGUCUUAGCCCUCCUGGUGUCUCCCUCCAGCCCCUCUCUGCCCACAGGCUCAGUGACUGCUCACACAGUGAAGAUUCUUGAGUUUUUCUCUCCUGCCUCAUCUUCGUGCUGGGCCUCUGAGCUUUGUGAUCCAGGGAAUGCUUCCACGGGAUGUCCCUCAGGCACCUGCUGUGCCCGCAUCCUGCAUCCCUGACGCCUGCUCCUCCCGCUGGGAUCCUUGGGCUGGGGAGUGAGACCUCCCUGUGCCUUGCCUCGGCCCCACGGGGUGUUCCACUGAGUUUGGGGAAUUCAGUGAGUGCCCAUGGCUUUCCUGGGACUAGCUCAGCCUCCUUCCUGGCCUCCCUGCUUCUAACCCUGUUCCUAAUUCAUCCACCCUCUAGGACCAGAAGGGUCUUUAAAUCAGAUCGUGCCACCUCCUGACCAUAGAAUCCCAGUUCUGUGCCCCAGGAAUCUGACGUGCUCCGACCCGAUCGCAUCUCCUGCUUCAUCUCCUGAGCUCUCUCCCUCUCCCUCACCAGGGUCCAGCCCCAGGCCUUCAUGCUGUCCCCCAAACCUGCCAGGCGCCUUCCAGUCUUGGGGGUUUAGCCCUCGUCGUUCCUCAGACUGCAAGACUCUCAGGGCUCCCUCCGGCCUCCUGUCUUUCAGCUCAGGCGCUGGUCAUCCCCUCCGAAGUGGGCCUUGCCCUCCCCGGGCUCUGUCUCACCACCUCUCAGUUCUUCUCCAGCUCAGAAUUGGCUUCAGUAGCUGACGGACCCUGUUUUCUGUCUUCUAUGCUGGGAGGCCAGUUCCAGAAGAGCGGGGGCUGACUCUGUCUGCUCCCUGCUGUCACUUGGUCAUUCACACAGUAGGUGCUCAGUAAAUUCUUGUGGAUCCCACGCAUGAAUCUGAUUGGUGAGCAAGCACUUGCCUCCUCCCUCCGCCUGCCUCCCUGCCUUGCCCAAUGGGGCUCCCUCUUCAUUCUCCCUCUGAGCCCUCACAGGUGUGGCCCUCCCCAAGAUGGAGUGAGUCAUCCUGUAUGUGUGUGUGCGUGUGUGGGCGCACGCCCACGCCUGGGUAUGCGUGUCCAUGUCUGUCU